UACGGAGGGUGCAAGCGUUAUCCGGAUUCACUGGGUUUAAAGGGUGCGUAGGUGGGUAGGUAAGUCAGUGGUGAAAUCUUCGGGCUUAACCCGGAAACUGCCAUUGAUACUAUUUAUCUUGAAUACUUUGGAGGUAAGCGGAAUAUGUCAUGUAGCGGUGAAAUGCUUAGAUAUGACAUAGAACACCAAUUGCGAAGGCAGCUUACUACACAAUUAUUGACACUGAGGCACGAAAGCGUGGGGAUCAAACAGG
rnacentral:rRNA from 1 species